GUGGGGCUAGUUUAACGAACACAGGCCUGUCUAGCCUGAAGUACACCUACUAAUAACGGUGUGCCCCUCU
rnacentral:tRNA from 1 species